rnacentral:rRNA from 1 species
UACGUAGGGGGCAAGCGUUAUCCGGAUUUACUGGGUGUAAAGGGAGCGCAGGCGGCGUGGCAAGUCAGAUGUGAAAACCCGGGGCCCAACCCCGGGACCGCUCUGGAAACUGCCCGGCUGGAGUGCGGGAGAGGUAAGCGGAAUUCCUAGUGUAGCGGUGAAAUGCGUAGAUAUUAGGAGGAACACCAGCGGCGAAGGCGGCUUACUGGACCGUGACUGACGUUGAGGCUCGAAAGCGUGGGGAGCAAACAGG